rnacentral:rRNA from 1 species
GCAGCAACGCCGCGUGGAGGAUGAAGGCCUUCGGGUUGUAAACUCCUUUUCUGGGGGAAGAGGAAGGACGGUACCCCAGGAAUCAGACACGGCUAACUACGUGCCAGCAGCCGCGGUAAUACGUAGGUGUCAAGCGUUAUCCGGAAUUACUGGGCGUAAAGGGGGCGCAGGCGGCCGGGCAAGUCUCGUGUGAAAGCCUCCGGCUUAACCGGGGGAGGUCGCGAGAUACUGCUUGGCUUGAGACAGUGAGAGGGAGGCGGAAUUCCCGGUGUAGUGGUGGAAUGCGUAGAUAUCGGGAAGAACACCAGUGGCGAAGGCGGCCUCCUGGCACUGCUCUGACGCUGAGGUGCGAAAGCGUGGGGAGCGAACGGGAUUAGAUACCCCGGUAGUCCACGCUGUAAYKRMAUGUGAACUAGGUGUGGGCAGCAUUGACCCUGUCCGUGCCGCAGCCAACGCGAUAAGUUCUCCGCCUGGGGAGUACGCCGGCAACGGUAAAACUCAAAGGAAUUGACGGGGACCCGCACAAGCGGUGGAGCAUGUGGUUUAAUUCGAUGCAACGCGAAGAACCUUACCUGGCCUUGACAUCCUCGGAACUUUCCAGAGAUGGAUUGGUGCCUUCGGGAACCGAGUGACAGGUGCUGCAUGGCUGUCGUCAGCUCGUGUCGUGAGAUGUUGGGUUAAGUCCCGCAACGAGCGCAACCCUUGUCCCUAGUUGCCAGC